GCCAUAGCUCAAUGGUAGAGCAUCUGCUUUGUAUGCAGGAGAUCUCAGGGUUCAGUCCCUGACAUCUUGAGGUA